GAUGAAGAACGUAGCGAAAUGCGAUAAGUAAUGUGAAUUGCAGAAUUCAGUGAAUCAUCGAAUCUUUGAACGCACAUUGCGCCCGCCAGUAUUCUGGCGGGCAUGCCUGUUCGAGCGUCAUUUCAACCAUCAAGCCCCCGGCUUGUGUUGGGGACCUGCGGCUGCCGCAGGCCCUGAAAAGCAGUGGCGGGCUCGCUGUCACACCGAGCGUAGUAGCAUACAUCUCGCUCUGGGCGUGCUGCGGGUUCCGGCCGUUAAAUCACCUUCAUAACCCAAGGUUGACCUCGGAUCAGGUAGGAAGACCCGCUGAACUUAAGCAUAUCAAUAAGCGGAGGA
rnacentral:misc_RNA from 1 species